rnacentral:rRNA from 1 species
GAUGAACGCUGGCGGCGUGCCUAAUACAUGCAAGUCGAACGCAUUGUGGUUGAAAUGAUAUGAAGAACUUGUUCAGAUUUGAUUUUCAACAUUGCAAUGAGUGGCGAACGGGUGAGUAACACGUGGGAAACCUACCUCUUAGCAGGGGAUAACAUUUGGAAACAAAUGCUAAUACCGUAUAAUAAUUAAAACCGACAUGGUUUUAGUUUAAAAGAAUGGUCUUGCUAUCACUAAGAGAUGGUCCCGCGGUGUAUUAGUUAGUUGGUGAGGUAAUGGCUCACCAAGAACAAUAGAUACAUAGCCGAGUUGAGAGACUGACCGGCCACAA